rnacentral:lncRNA from 1 species
CGUCCGGCUUGUGCACCCGUUCGUCGUGGCCCACUUCGGGGCGGCGGCGGUACGAAAGGAGAUACGCGCAGCGAAGGGACGCUAAGCGGCAAUUACACGCUACCCCCCCGUAUCUCGCACUACGGCCGCUCGCCGCCGUAGCGUUUUACUUUGCUCUUUCGGCAAGCUCGUGAAGACGCGCGCACGCUCCGCAGAAAAGAGUAGCGAACACGUUCGGGCCACGGCGGCCCGGUUUCGGAACGCGGAGAGGAAACCCUGCGUCGUCCGAGGCAAGGGGAAAGAGCUAAAAGCGGCGUCUGAAGGUUGCCGACGUAAGCGGGGCUUCCAGACGGGGAAGAAGUUCAAGAUCGAGGGCAAUGGUGGUGCCGACGGCUGCUGGCAGAAACGACGCCCGGUCAUUACCGGGCACGGGGAGGGCUCGGA